GAUGAAGAACGCAGCAAAAUGCGAUAAGUAAUGUGAAUUGCAGAAUUCAGUGAAUCAUCGAAUCUUUGAACGCACAUUGCGCCCGCUGGUAUUCCGGCGGGCAUGCCUGUUCGAGCGUCAUUUCAACCCUCAAGCCCCCGGGUUUGGUGUUGGGGAUCGGCUCUGCCCUUCUGGGCGGUGCCGCCCCCGAAAUACAUUGGCGGUCUCGCUGCAGCCUCCAUUGCGUAGUAGCUAACACCUCGCAACUGGAACGCGGCGCGGCCAUGCCGUAAAACCCCAACUUCUGAAUGUUGACCUCGGAUCAGGUAGGAAUACCCGCUGAACUUAAGCAUAUCAAUAAGCGGAGGAA
rnacentral:misc_RNA from 1 species